GAGUUUGAUCCUGGCUCAGGAUGAACGCUAGCGGCAGGCCUAAUACAUGCAAGACGAGCGGUAAAUGUUUCAGCAAUGAGAUAUGAGAGCGUCGUAAGGGUGCGUAACACGUAUGCAAUCUGCCCGGGACCGGAGCAUAGCUCGCCGAAAGGCGGAUUAACUCUCCAUAAGAUGGUGGUGCGGCAUCGCAGAGCCAUUAAAUCUCCGGAGGUCCUGGAUGAGCAUGCGGAUGAUUAGCUAGUUGGUGGUGUAACGGACCACCAAGGCGAUGAUCAAUAGGGGAACUGAGAGGUUGAUCCCCCACACUGGCACUGAGAUACGGGCCAGACUCCUACGGGAGGCAGCAGUAGGGAAUAUUGGACAAUGGGUGCAAGCCUGAUCCAGCCA
rnacentral:rRNA from 1 species